rnacentral:rRNA from 1 species
UACAGAGGGUGCGAGCGUUGUCCGGAAUCACUGGGCGUAAAGGGCGCGUAGGCGGCUUCUUAAGCGUGUGGUGAAAGCGCGGGGCUCAACCCCGCGUCGGCCGUGCGAACUGGGGAGCUGGAGCACGUCAGAGGCAGGCGGAAUUCCGGGUGUAGCGGUGGAAUGCGUAGAGAUCCGGAAGAACACCGGUGGCGAAGGCGGCCCGCUGGGACGUGGCUGACGCUGAGGCGCGACAGCGUGGGGAGCAAACAGG